GUUUAUCACCAAUCCAGAUUGAAUAUACCCGAUCUCGUCUGAUCUCGGAAGUCAAGCAAUCUCGGGCUUGGUUAGUACUUGGAUGGGUGACCGCUUGGGAAUACCAAGUGUGAUAAGCA
rfam:Ciona savignyi cont_49786, whole genome shotgun sequence.